rnacentral:rRNA from 1 species
AUUGAACGCUGGCGGCAGGCCUAACACAUGCAAGUCGAACGAGUGGCGGACGGGUGAGUUAUGUCUGGGAAACUGCCUGAUGGAGGGGGAUAACUACUGGAAACGGUAGCUAAUACCGCAUACCAUCGGAUGUUCCCAGAUGGGAUUAGCUAGUUGGUGGGGUAACGGCUAACCUAGGCGACGAUCCCUAGCUGGUCUGAGAGGAUGACCAGCCACACUGGAACUGAGACACGGUCCAGACUCCUACGGGAGGCAGCAGUGGGGAAUAUUGCACAAUGGGCGCAAGCCGGAUGCAGCAAUGCCGCGUGAAUGAAGAAGGCCUUCGGGUUGUAAAGUGCUUUCAGCGGGGAGGCGUUACCCGCAGAAGAAGCACCGGCUAACUCCGUGCCAGCAGCCGCGGUAAUUC